AACGAACGCUGGCGGCAUGCCUAACACAUGCAAGUCGAACGAGACCUUCGGGUCUAGUGGCGCACGGGUGCGUAACGCGUGGGAACCUGCCCUUAGGUUCGGAAUAACUCCCCGAAAGGGGUGCUAAUACCGGAUAAUGUCUUCGGACCAAAGAUUUAUCGCCUUUGGAUGGGCCCGCGUUGGAUUAGCUAGUUGGUAGGGUAAAAGCUUACCAAGGCGACGAUCCAUAGCUGGUCUGAGAGGAUGAUCAGCAACACUGGGACUGAGACACGGCCCAGACUCCUACGGGAGGCAGCAGUGGGGAAUAUUGGACAAUGGGCGAAAGCCUGAUCCAGCAAUGCCGCGUGAGUGAUGAAGGCCUUAGGGUUGUAAAGCUCUUUUACCCGGGAUGAUAAUGACAGUACCGGGAGAAUAAGCUCCGGCUAACUCCGUG
rnacentral:rRNA from 1 species